AGCCCUAAGUGGGUGGUAAACUCCAUCUAAGGCUAAAUAUGAUCACGAGACCGAUAGCGAACAAGUACCGUGAGGGAAAGUUGAAAAGCACUUUGAAGAGAGAGUUCAAGAGUACGUGAAACCGUUUAGGGGUAAACCUGAGAAACCCGAAAGGUCGAAGGAAGAAAUUCAUUCGCGUCUCGCCGCAGGCGUGGGGCGGUCGUGCGACGGAAAGCGUUCGCGUUUUCCGCGCCUUCCGUCCUUCGAACCGGCGGCGAACGCGUGCACUUUUCUUCUGGUAGGACGUCGCGAUCCGUUGGGCGUCGGUCUACGGCUCGCGGUGGAGCCCGUUCGUACGUUCGCGUACGAGCGGACCCGCGUGUCCCGGCUGACUCGCUCGACGGUAUACGAAAGGUUUAAGGCCGCUCUCGGAGCGUUCGACUCGUGGCAAGCGCGCCAGAUGCGUCGGCGAUCGGACCCAGUGCCGAUUCUGACCUCUGGCGACUGUUGGCCGCGAAGUUCUCGGACAGACCUUAAGACCGAUCUGCGACGCUAUAGCUUUGGGUACUUUCAG
rnacentral:rRNA from 1 species